rnacentral:misc_RNA from 1 species
UAAACACCACACUACCAAAGCAGACUCUGGUUAGAGAGGAAGCGCAUCGGAAUCCAUGGCUCGCCAAGCCACAAGACUGAUAUCUAACUUGAGUACAAAGCUUAACCCUAGCAGUCCAACGAUGUCUGCUUCUCCAUUAUGGCAUCAGUAUCGCUACUUUGGAUCGCCACCACCGCCACCCGCUGUUUUCGUUGAUAAAAACACCCGCGUCAUAUGUCAAGGCAUCACCGGUAAAAACGGCACUUUCCACACUGAACAGGCCAUUGAAUAUGGUACUAAAAUGGUUGGUGGAGUGACCCCCAAGAAGGGUGGAACAGAACAUUUGGGGCUACCUGUUUUUAAUACUGUUGUAGAGGCAAAAGUAGAGACAAAGGCUAAUGCUUCAGUGGUUUAUGUUCCUCCACCAUUUGCUGCUGCAGCUAUUAUGGAGGCCAUGGAAGCUGAGUUGGACUUAGUUGUCUGCAUAACAGAGGGGAUUCCUCAACAUGAUAUGGUUCGCGUAAAAGCUGCUCUUAAGAAGCAA